UACGAAGGGGGCUAGCGUUGCUCGGAAUUACUGGGCGUAAAGGGCGCGUAGGCGGUCCGUUUAGUCAGAGGUGAAAGCCCAGGGCUCAACCUUGGAACUGCCUUUGAUACUGGCUGUCUUGAGUUCGGGAGAGGUGAGUGGAAUGCCGAGUGUAGAGGUGAAAUUCGUAGAUAUUCGGCGGAACACCAGUGGCGAAGGCGACUCACUGGCCCGAUACUGACGCUGAGGCGCGAAAGCGUGGGGAGCAAACAGG
rnacentral:rRNA from 1 species